rnacentral:lncRNA from 1 species
GGGCCUCUAGCCUGAGUCCACGGAUCCCUUACAGUUCUACUACACAUGUCAAGGUCUCCGGAUUUCCAUACUCACCUCUGCCUCCUCUCCCUGGCCCCCAAGGCCUCAAGAACCAAGUCAUCCUCCAAGACUCAAUUCAAGCAAUUGACCAGUGAAACUUCCCCUAGGGCACCCACGCUGAACCCUCGCCCACCUCCGGCCUCCAGUGUGCCCUUGUGGACACUUCUACUACAGCACCUACUGUACCGUGCUAUAACCACAUAGCUAUAUGCUGGGCUUCCCACCAGAAAAUGAACUCCUUCAGAGCAGGAACCUUGUUGGCUCUUAUCCAUCUGUGAAUCUCCAGAGCAGGCACAGUGCCCAGGUUGGCAGUGACUAUCAGACGGCAGGUGGAUUGGUAGCUGGAUCACUGGAUAGAAGGGUAGUUAGAUGGAAGAGUGACUAGAUGGAAGUGUGGCUGGGUGGAAACUUGGCUGGAUGGAAGGGUGGCUAGGUGGAAGGGUGGUUGAGUGGAAGGGUAGUUAGAUGGAAGAGCGAUUGGGUGGAAGAACAGCCAGGAGGAAAGGUGGCCAGGUGGAAGGGUGAAACAUACAAGGAUGGUUGGGUGAAAAAAAGCACAGAAGGAUGGAGAGGAGUAUAGAAAUAUAGAUAAAAGAAUAGACAGAAACACACGAGAAAGACAAUGAGGUGAAAUCAUCAGGGAGGGGUGAGAGAAGAGGUUCUCAAACAACACAGCAACAGCAGACAGGUGAGAAGGAAGGCUGUGUGACAUGUCCUUUGUGACAUCCCAAAGUUCACAUCUUGACUGUAGCUCCUCAAUAGCCAUCACGAAGGGCACUCUGC